AUUGAACGCUGGCGGCAUGCCUUACACAUGCAAGUCGAACGGCAGCGGACCUUCGGGUGCCGGCGAGUGGCGAACGGGUGAGUAAUAUAUCGGAACGUACCUUUCAGUGGGGGAUAACGUAGCGAAAGUUACGUUAAUACCGCAUAUUCUGUGAGCAGGAAAGCAGGGGAUCGCAAGACCUUGCGCUGAUUGAGCGGCCGAUAUCAGAUUAGCUAGUUGGUGAGGUAAAGGCUCACCAAGGCGACGAUCUGUAGCGGGUCUGAGAGGAUGAUCUGCCACACUGGAACUGAGACACGGUCCAGACUCCUACGGGAGGCAGCAGUGGGGAAUUUUGGACAAUGGGCGCAAGCCUGAUCCAGCCAUGCCGCGUGAGUGAAGAAGGCCUCGGUUGUAAG
rnacentral:rRNA from 1 species